GUUCUUAAUGUAGGAGCAAUUUGAAGUGGAUUCAGUUUUAUAGAUAAUAAGCAUGAGAGUAAAGAUCACAGCAGACAUUUGGUUACUAAAGAGUCUUCAGUGGAACUUGAAAGUUUUAAUCCAUCAGAUGUUAAGAAUGAGAUUGGUAUGUAUUUUUAAAAGAGUGGGGUGGAGAUCCAAAAGGAAAAAAAGAGGUCUAAUCCAAGCCAUUAGGUAUUGGAAUCCUCUCCUAUAUAAAAGCCUUUUGUUUAUAAGAGAGCUGAGAGCUUGAAGACCUGUAGCUAAAUCAUCCUUUGGAUUCCACUGAAUUGAUGGGGUGAUAGUUGUGUCAAUCAGUUGAUGUCUGAAGAACACCAGCUACAUUCCAGGCUGUGGACACCAGGGCAGCUAUGACAGGUAAUGUCUAUUCAUGCUCCCAUGCAGCUUUCUGACAUAUCAUUGACCCUGCUGGAGUGUAUCCUGGGAAAUACAGGUCAGUAACCAUGUGGAAUUGCAUCAAGUUUGCAUGUGAGUGCAGGAUGACAGUUUCCAAUAAGCGUCGUACUGCCUGUACUGAUGGUCAUUGAAAUGCUUCCAGUCUGAUUGGUAUAAAAAUGACUAGACUUGGCCAUACAUAAUAGAACCUGGGAACAGGGCUCCUGCGGAAGUGGGUGGCCCUUGGCAACCCUCAGUAGACCAAGGUGGGGAUGGCAGCAGGGCAGCAGGGCCUGGGCAAUGCCUGUCCAUUGCCCUGGGGAAGACCUGCAUGGUGGGAACUGCAGGGCAAGCAGGGUGGUAGUCUUGUUGUCAGGAGGUGAGGCUCCAGGGUGUGUGCCAUGCCAGAUACGCAGGCUAAGGUAUGAUGCUCCUUCCAGCUGCAAAAAUGACCCAGAACUGGGGACCUAAUGACUACCAAUUUAAUAAGAAAGAGUUUGAUGAGUUUUCCUGUGUUAUAUCAUGCAGACAAAGGUUGUCUAUGUAUGGACCUUGUCUGUCAUUCUCGCUAUAGAAUUCCUAGCACCUACCACAAUACCUG
rnacentral:lncRNA from 1 species